ACGCUGGCGGCACGCCUAACACAUGCAAGUCGAACGAAGUAGCAAUACUUAGUGGCAGACGGGUGAGUAACAUGUAGGUAUCUGCCCUUUGGCCUGGAAUAACACGAGGAAACUUGUGCUAAUACCGGAUAAGUCUUUACGGAGAAAGCUUUAUGCACCAUUGGAUGAGCCUGCACUUGAUUAGUUUGUUGGUGGGGUAAUGGCCUACCAAGACUGUGAUCAAUAGCUGAUUUGAGAGGAUGAUCAGCCACAUUGGGACUGAGACACGGCCCAAACUCCUACGGGAGGCAGCAGUGGGGAAUCUUGCACAAUGGAGGAAACUCUGAUGCAGCGAUGCCGCGUGAGUGAAGAAGGCCCUUGGGUUGUAAAGCUCUUUCGUCGGGGAAGAAAAUGACUGUACCCGAAUAAGAAGGUCCGGCUAACUUCGUGCCAGCAGCCGCGGUAAUACGAAGGGACCUAGCGUAGUUCGGAAUUACUGGGCUUAAAGAGUUCGUAGGUGGUUGAAAAAGUUAGUGGUGAAAUCCCAGAGCUUAACUCUGGAACUGCCAUUAAAACUUUUCAGCUAGAGUAUGAUAGAGGAAAGCAGAAUUUCUAGUGUAGAGGUGAAAUUCGUAGAUAUUAGAAAGAAUACCAAUUGCGAAGGCAGCUUUCUGGAUCAUUACUGACACUGAGGAACGAAAGCAUGGGUAGCGAAGAGGAUUAGAUACCCUCGUAGUCCAUGCCGUAAACGAUGUGUGUUAGACGUUGGAAAUUUAUUUUCAGUGUCGCAGGGAAACCGAUAAACACACCGCCUGGGGAGUACGACCGCAAGGUUAAAACUCAAAUGAAUUGACGGGGACCCGCACAAGUAGUGGAGCAUGUGGUUUAAUUCGAAGAUACGCGCAGAACCUUACCAACACUUGACAUGUUCGUCGCGACUCUAAGAGAUUAGAGUUUUCGGUUCGGCCGGACGAAACACAGGUGCUGCAUGGCUGUCGUCAGCUCGUGUCGUGAGAUGUUGGGUUAAGUCCCGCAACGAGCGCAACCCUCACUUUUAGUUGCCAUCAUUAAGUUGGGCACUCUGAAAGAACUGCCAGUGAUAAGCUGGAGGAAGGUGGGGAUGACGUCAAGUCCUCAUGGCCCUUACGUGUUGGGCUACACACGUGCUACAAUGGUAUCUACAACAGGAAGCAAGACUGCGAAGUUAAGCAAAUCCCUAAAAGAUACCUCAGUUCGGAUUGCACUCUGCAACUCGAGUGCAUGAAGCUGGAAUUACUAGUAAUCGUGGAUCAGCGUGCCACGGUGAAUGCGUUCCCGGGUCUUGUACUCACCGCCCGUCA
rnacentral:rRNA from 1 species